rnacentral:rRNA from 1 species
UACAGAGGGGGCAAGCGUUAUUCGGAAUUAUUGGGCGUAAAGAGCUCGUAGGCGGUUUGUCGCGUCUGCCGUGAAAAGUCCGGGGCUCAACUCCGGAUCUGCGGUGGGUACGGGCAGACUAGAGUGAUGUAGGGGAGACUGGAAUUCCUGGUGUAGCGGUGAAAUGCGCAGAUAUCAGGAGGAACACCGAUGGCGAAGGCAGGUCUCUGGGCAUUAACUGACGCUGAGGAGCGAAAGCAUGGGGAGCGAACAGG